UGAUAAUGAGCUUUACGUACCUA
rnacentral:siRNA from 1 species